rnacentral:rRNA from 1 species
UAAAGAGCUCGUAGGUGGUUUGUCGCGUUGUCCGUGAAAACUCACAGCUUAACUGUGGGCGUGCGGGCGAUACGGGCAGACUAGAGUACUGCAGGGGAGACUGGAAUUCCUGGUGUAGCGGUGGAAUGCGCAGAUAUCAGGAGGAACACCGGUGGCGAAGGCGGGUCUCUGGGCAGUAACUGACGCUGAGGAGCGAAAGCGUGGGGAGCGAACAGGAUUAGAUACCCUGGUAGUCCACGCCGUAAACGGUGGGUACUAGGUGUGGGUUCCUUCCUUGGGAUCCGUGCCGUAGCUAACGCAUUAAGUACCCCGCCUGGGGAGUACGGCCGCAAGGCUAAAACUCAAAGGAAUUGACGGGGGCCCGUACAAGCGGCGGAGCAUGUGGAUUAAUUCGAUGCAACGCGAAGAACCUUACCUGGGUUUGACAUGCACAGGACGCCGGCAGAGAUGUCGGUUCCCUUGUGGCCUGUGUGCAGGUGGUGCAUGGCUGUCGUCAGCUCGUGUCGUGAGAUGUUGGGUUAAGUCCCGCAGCGAGCGCAACCCUUGUCCUAUGUUGCCAGCGGGUUAUGCCGGGGACUCGUAGGAGACUGCCGGGGUCAACUCGGAGGAAGGUGGGGAUGACGUCAAGUCAUCAUGCCCCUUAUGUCCAGGGCUUCACACAUGCUACAAUGGCCGGUACAAAGGGCUGCGAUGCCGUGAGGUGGAGCGAAUCCUUUCAAAGCCGGUCUCAGUUCGGAUCGGGGUCUGCAACUCGACCCCGUGAAG